GACGAACGCUGGCGGCGUGCUUAACACAUGCAAGUCGAACGGAAAGGCCCUGCUCUUGCGGGGUGCUCGAGUGGCGAACGGGUGAGUAACACGUGAGUAUCCUGCCCCUGACUGUGGGAUAACUUCAGGAAACUGGGGCUAAUAUCGGAUAGGAGAUCCUGCUGCACGGGGGGGGUUGGAAAGUUUCGGCGGUUUGGGAUGGACUCGCGGCUUAUCAGCUUGUUGGGGGGGUAGUGGCUUACCAAGGUUUUGACGGGUAGCCGGCCUGAGAGGGUGACCGGCCACAUUGGGACUGAGGUACGGCCCAGACUCCUACGGGAGGCAGCAGUGGGGAAUAUUGCGCAAUGGGCGGAAGCCUGAUGCAGCAACGCCGCGUGCGGGAUGACGGCCUUCGGGUUGUAAACCGCUUUCGCCUGUGACGAAGCGUGAGUGACGGUAAUGGGUAAAGAAGCACCGGCUAACUACGUG
rnacentral:rRNA from 1 species